rnacentral:rRNA from 1 species
GAUGAACGCUGGCGGCGUGCCUAAUACAUGCAAGUCGAGCGAACGGACGAGAAGCUUGCUUCUCUGAUGUUAGCGGCGGACGGGUGAGUAACACGUGGAUAACCUACCUAUAAGACUGGGAUAACUUCGGGAAACCGGAGCUAAUACCGGAUAAUAUUUUUAACCGCAUGGUUCAAAAGUGAAAGACGGUCUUGCUGUCACUUAUAGCUGGAUCCGCGCUGCAUUAGCUAGUUGGUAAGGUAACGGCUUACCAAGGCAACGAUGCAUAGCGGACCUGAGAGGAUGAUCGGCCACACUGGAACUGAGACACGGUCCAGACUCCUACGGGAGGCAGCAGUAGGGAAUCUUCCGCAAUGGGCGAAAGCCUGACGGAGCAACGCCGCGUGAGUGAUGAAGGUCUUCGGAUCGUAAAACUCUGUUAUUAGGGAAGAACAUAUGUGUAAGUAACUGUGCACAUCUUGACGGUACCUAAUCAGAAAGCCACGGCUAACUACGUG